rnacentral:rRNA from 1 species
GACGAACGCUGGCGGCGUGCUUAACACAUGCAAGUCGAACGGAAAGGCCCUGCUUUUGUGGGGUGCUCGAGUGGCGAACGGGUGAGUAACACGUGAGUAACCUGCCCUUGACUUUGGGAUAACUUCAGGAAACUGGGGCUAAUACCGGAUAGGAGCUCCUGCUGCAUGGUGGGGGUUGGAAAGUUUCGGCGGUUGGGGAUGGACUCGCGGCUUAUCAGCUUGUUGGUGGGGUAGUGGCUUACCAAGGCUUUGACGGGUAGCCGGCCUGAGAGGGUGACCGGGCACAUUGGGACUGCGAUACGGCCCAGACUCCUACGGGAGGCAGCAGUGGGGAAUAUUGCACAAUGGGCGGAAGCCUGAUGCAGCAACGCCGCGUGCGGGAUGACGGCCUUCGGGUUGUAAACCGCUUUCGCCUGUGACGAAGCGUGAGUGACGGUAAUGGGUAAAGAAGCACCGGCUAACUACGUG